UCUUUAUUGAACUGAAAACUCCUUUUUCUCUUUGCUGCAACGGAUGAAGAGAAUUUGGUUUUUUUGCGUUUUCUUUUUGACGCAUCAUUGGAGAGGGGUGUGCUGGCAUCUACAGGUGCCACUGUCAUCUUUGCUUUUUCAUUGCACUUUGCAUCUGUCUUCUUACAUCCAGGAGCAGAGUUUUGUUUUGGCAUCACUGUGUAGAAAGCUGGAGCAUACUUUGAAGAGCUGCAACCUCUUUUCUUACGAGAUUCUUUAAUUUCUUCACAGAGUUGUUCAAAAUCUUCAUCUAUUUCUUCUUUCACAAUGGAAUAUGCAGUGUCUUUCAAACUACAAGCCCUGUGCCUAAUGAGACGAUCUCCAGGGUCUUUAUCUGGGUUGUAUUCUAAAGCAUUACUACAGAUGAG
rnacentral:lncRNA from 1 species